GAAAAGAACUUUGAAGAGAGAGUUCAAGAGUACGUGAAACUGAAGUGGUGUAAACGGACGAGUUCGAAAAGUCCGAAUGGUGAGAUUCAAGCUUACCGUGCCGGUGGCCCUCGGGUUCAGAUGGCGUCGUCAGCUCGGGCUUCGGUUCGGGUCAUACGGCGUCACUCGUCCUGGGGGUAUCUGUCUGGUGCGGUGGGCUGCACUUCUCGCCUAGUAGGACGUCGCGACCCGUUGGGAUGUUCCGUUCACUGGCCCCUGGUGGAGCCCGCGCCGGAGCGUGGCCUUGUGCCGCGUUGCUGUUUGCACGGACCCGGGGUGACCUGAUCGGCGCCCGACGGUAUCAAAGCUUGGGAAGAGGCCGCACAGAGGAUGCGUUCGAUGGCCGUUUCGGCCUACACUCGGACAGGCCUGCACCCGGUCAGCGGCGCUUCUGCUUUCGAUACUCGUCCGACCCGUCUUGAAAC
rnacentral:rRNA from 1 species